AAGAAGACACGUGUCGCAAGUGAC
rnacentral:siRNA from 1 species